GUAUAUAAAUAUAAAAAAUCAACAGAGUGGUAUGCACAGGCGAUAAAAAAUGUAUUGUAUUGAAUUUGGUUGAUUGUAUAUUGUUUUUAGUUGAGCUGUCAGUUUGUACGGUAUCUGUGAAUGAGGAACCUCGC